rnacentral:rRNA from 1 species
UACGUAGGGUGCAAGCGUUAAUCGGAAUUACUGGGCGUAAAGCGUGCGCAGGCGGUUGUGCAAGACAGAUGUGAAAUCCCCGGGCUCAACCCUGGGAACUGCAUUUGUGACUGCACGGCUGGAGUGCGGCAGAGGGGGAUGGAAUUCCGCGUGUAGCAGUGAAAUGCGUAGAUAUGCGGAGGAACACCGAUGGCGAAGGCAAUCCCCUGGGCCUGCACUGACGCUCAUGCACGAAAGCGUGGGGAGC